rnacentral:rRNA from 1 species
UACGAAGGGGGCUAGCGUUGCUCGGAAUCACUGGGCGUAAAGGGUGCGUAGGCGGGUCUUUAAGUCAGGGGUGAAAUCCUGAAGCUCAACUCCAGAACUGCCUUUGAUACUGAAGAUCUUGAGUUCGGGAGAGGUGAGUGGAACUGCGAGUGUAGAGGUGAAAUUCGUAGAUAUUCGCAAGAACACCAGUGGCGAAGGCGGCUCGCUGGCCCGAUACUGACGCUGAGGCACGAAAGCGUGGGGAGCAAACAGG